ensembl:lncRNA
GUAACUGUCACAGCGUUCAAGCCCCACGUAAACAGCGCUCUCUCCCUUUGCCCCUCCUCAAGAACAGAAACGGAAGGGCUGAAAUUCACACCUUCCUCCGACAGCUCGGGUCCUCGGCAAACCCUGGCCCUGGACCCAGUCCUGCUUCAGCCUGGAGUUCAAAAUCUCCAACAUACACACUCGAGGGAAGUAGAUGGCUCUCCCUAGGACCAGGGAUGGAUCCGGGUUUUGUGUUUGUUUUGUUGUGGUGGUGGUGCUAGGGAUGGAACCCAGUGCUUUACCAUCAAGCUGCAUCCUCAGCCCUAGAUCCAGGUUUUCAAGGAACUGACACUUAAAUAAUUUGAGAAAGCCUUCUUUAAAAAAGCAUAUAAAGAGGCCAGGAAUUUAGUUCAUUGGUGCCGCUACCUGGCUCGAAAGCGCAAGAUCCUGAGUUCGAUCCCCGGUACCAAAAAAAAAAAAAAAACAUAUAAAGGCCAGGUGUGGUGUUGCACGCCUAUAAUCCCAGCACUUGGGAGGUUGAGGCAGGAGGAUCACCACAAGUUCGAGACCAGCCCGGGCUACAUAGUGAGUUCAGGAGCACCUGAACUAAAAGCCCCUUCCCCCAAAAUUAAAAAAUAAAUAAAAAACAUAUAAAGCCGGGGAUUCAGCUCAGUGGCGCUGCACCUGCCUUGCAAGCACAAGGUCCUGAGUUUGAUCCCAGGUACCUAAAAAAUAAAUAAAGCAUAUAAAAUUAUGUGUAUAAAAUUAGAUAUAAAGGAAAAACAGCCUGGUGGUGAACACCUGUAAUCCCAGGUCUCUAGGACGCAGGAGGAUUGCAAAUUUGAGUACAGUCUGGGCAAUUUAGCAAUUUAGACCCUGUCUCAAAAUUGAAAAAUAACAAAAUGUUUAAAAGCGCUAGGGAUGUAGCUCAGUGCAAAGGCUCUCUAUUCGAUCUCCUGUACCGGGGGAAAAACAAGACAUAAAGGUGAAUAUGGUUGCAAGUGAGAAGAGAAAUCCCAAACAAUGAUGGCGGCUGACAGCCAGACUCCACGUCAGCCUCAUGACACGGCGGUCCUUUGCACCAUACCAGGGUGGGCUGUGCGACAGCAGGAUCUGGCAGAAGUGAUGGCAGGGGAUGGCACUGCAGCUUCUGUCCUGCCCUCUCUCUCCUAAGGCCCUCGCUCAGCCAGGAGGCCGUGGCUGUCUGGGUAGUGAGGCAGAAACCUCCAGGCACGGCCUCACCAGCGAGCUCAGAAACUGGUCCUGCAGGGCCAGCUGCCCGGCCAGCAGCCUCAGCCAGACUCACCAAGCCAAGGCCCAAGCCCAGACACAUGGAGGUCCCUGCUCCUCGUCACGGGACAGCUUGUCACGAAGCCAGGAGAGCUGCUGCCAGAGCUUCAGAGGCUCUUGUGCUUUUCUUCUGAGAGCCCUUAGAUGUGGUGGAGGAGCCGUUGCCAGCAACUCUGAGACCUGGGAAGAGGCUGGAGACUCCAGGCAGCCAAGGGAGAGGCUUCCUAAAGUCGAUGCGAGAGCCUGGCAGGCUGACUGGUGGAAUAGUUCUCAGUGGAUGCGGACCUCGGAAAGGUACUGCCCAGCGCCGUUUCGCGGAUGAAGCUGCAGACUGUUCACUUUUUAAGUUGCAAAUGGACUGUGUUCAUUAGACCUUUCACUAUUUAGAUAUCGGGGCUCAUCUGAGAGCGAGAAGUCUUCAUUCUCCCAGGUCUGCGUUUCCUUCCAGCCCCUCAUGCAACUCACAUAAAAAUAGGGGCUCGGAGAGAUUCGAUCCUGCGCACCAUACAGCGAGUGGCCUGAUGUUACCCAUGACUGAAUUGCAUCUGCAGAAAGCAAGUUUGGACAUCUAAAAAGGGCCAUUUGGGGCGGGG